rnacentral:rRNA from 1 species
UACAGAGGGUGCGAGCGUUAAUCGGAAUUACUGGGCGUAAAGCGUGCGUAGACGGUUAUUUAAGUCGGAUGUGAAAGCCCCGGGCUCAACCUGGGAAUUGCAUUCGAGACUGAAUAGCUAGGGUGCGGUAGAGGGAAGCGGAAUUUCCGGUGUAGCGGUGAAAUGCGUAGAUAUCGGAAGGAACACCAGUGGCGAAGGCGACUUCCUGGCCUGUUCUUGACGCUGAGGCGCGAAAAGCUAGGGGAGCAAACGGG